rnacentral:lncRNA from 1 species
UGGCACAAGUCACCGUGCGUGCUGCUCACAGCAGCCCCUUUCAGGUGGACAACACAGUGAUUCAGUUACACAGGAUUUUUGGCAGAGCCACCGUGUUUAGUCUUGUUACUGCCCAGUGCACCACGUGCUCCUUUUAAGAUCCCUCAUUCUUGGUAUGUUGAACGAUUUUCAGCUGAAUCCUGGACAUUUUUGUAUCAUAUUCUGAGACUCUGGUUAUAGUUGGACCCUCGGUUUUAGCUGGGCUUUUGGACACCGCUCAUUAAUGUCGGGUGGAAGUAAACUGAAUUCUUACGCAUGAGACAGAGGCUGACCACGGAUGUGCAGGGCAAAGGGGCCACCUGAUGUGGGAGAUGGCUGAGGUCUACAAAAGGCAGUUACGUAAGUGAGAUGCUGCCACCUCCAAGGCCCCACAGUCCUCAAGCAACGUCGAAGAACAUGACUCAGGUCAAGUGGGAACGUGUGUUGAUCAGAUAAGCAAGGCAGGUGAGGAGCACCCAUGGGUGGUGGAUUUGUGAGCAGAGAUCACCCCAGUGCUUGGAUGCAUGCCAACAUACUUUGCUCAAUUUCUGCCUUCUAAAUCUGGACGCUGCCCUCUUUCUGUGGCUACAGACUUGCCCCCUGAAAGGAAGGAUGUGCUGAGAGUAGACACUUGGUGGGGUGUCUUUCUAGCCCCUUUUCUAGAACAGGCACCUUUCUUGGAAUCUCACUUGGGCACCCCACCAUCCAUAUAUUCUCUGCCCCUCCCCACCUGCUAUGGGAGAAGGAGCCAGGAUGGACAUCUGGCCAUCACUGUGUUGAUCUUGUUAUCUCUGGGGUAUUCUCUUAACCAGAAGAACUGAAAUGGGCCAUGCUAGAGGGGUGGCCAUUUCCACCUGACACGUGUCCCAAGAAGCAGAGAACAGACCAUGGAGAACAGCAGGUAGCUCUGUGCUUGGGUGCAAGAGAUGCCCCUGUGUCCUUAGAUAGAAGCCACCAUCCACCCCAUUCAAGCCAGGCUGAGAAGCCUUCUCUAUUUGCCGUCCUCAAGUGUGAGCUAUUUCCUGGAGCCACAGUUAGCAUCUCUACCUUGUUAAAAUGACUGAUAAUCCAAACUCUGGGUGUGUGGCCAGGGGAAUUGUGUCAGGAAUCUAUUACAGACUGUCCCCAAACUCAGCUGAGGUCUACAAAACGGUGGUAGACAUAUGUUACCUCACACAAUUUCUGUGGAUCUGGAGUCCGGGAGCAGCUUAGCUGGGUGGCUCUGGCUCAGCGUCUCUUGUGAGGCUGCAGCACAGUGGUCGCUGGGGCUUCAUCAUCUGAAGCCUCGACUGGGGCCAGUGGAGCUGCUUCUAGGCUCACUCACCGGUUGCUGAGAUGCUUCAGGUCCUCCCUGGCUGUUGGUCAGAGGCUUUAGUUCCUUAGGAUAUUUCUACAGGACUAUAGUUUGCUUCCCUCAGAGAGAAGAAGGGAGGGGCAGAGAGAGAGGGAGGGAGAGAGGAUGUGAGAUGCGUGGGGCUGGCUACUUAAUGGAGAAGAGAGUGGGGACAAGCAUUCUGGAGAGCUCUGAGAAAGCCCGUAGAGUUCCGGAAUGUUGCUCAGGGUCCAGGGAUGAGAGAUGCAGCUGAUGGAGAAGGUGGGGGACCAUAGGGCUUCAGCUGGUGCAGAGGGAGCAGGGGAGGGUGAGAUCCUUGGGGUUACAGUCGGGAGCCCGGGGGUUACCCAGGGGAAUGAUGUCUUCUCACGACUCCAGCAUCAGUGAGCAGAGAACGGAGCGGUGGGCGGCGGGAGAGGGAGCCAGAUGUGGGCAGAGAGACACACUGUGGUUACUUCCUCUUCUCAGAUGAGGAAGCUGAUGCUGGAGAAGCAGAGCAGCUAGUAAGAGGUCACAGGGCUGGGAGGUGUGCAGAUGGGCUUCGAGCACAGGCCGUCUGCCCGGAGCACGUGCCUUCACCGGAUGACUCUGACCGUCUGGGGGGCGUUGAAUUGUGUCCCCACAAGAUCCGUCCAGUUCCUGGUACCUGCCAAUGUAUCCUUAUUUGGAAAAGAUACCUUUGCAGACUUAACUGAGUUCAGGACCUUGAGAUGAGAUCAGAGCGGAUAAAGGGUGGGCUCUCUAGCCAAAGACAGGUGUCCCUGUGAGAUAAAGGAGAAGGAGGUUUGAGACACAGACACACUGGGGGCAGAAGGCCAAGUGAGAAAGAAGACAGAAAUUGGAGUGAAGCAUCCACAAGCUAAGGAUGCCAGCACUGCCAGCAGCCUCCAGAGCUGGGAGACAGGUGUGAGCAGGCUCCAGAGGGAGCGAGACCCUGCCGACACCUUGAUUUAGGGCUUCGGUUUCCAGAACUGGGAGAGAAUGGACUCCUGUGUCCUAAAGCCCUGUCAUCUGUGGCUGUUCGUUACAGUAGCUCUAGGACCUUAAUACAGCCUUCCCUGCCCCUUCCAGGGACAGCCUGAGCUCCCCAUAUUUCCAGACACUCACCUGACCUGGGAAGACAGCCAGACCUGAGGGGGAGGGGGCAGAGACCCCUUCUCCUGCUGCCUGUUCUCCCCAGGAAACUUCCACGAUGCCCCCUGCUUCUUCAGAGCCUGACCUGAGCUCCAAACAGCUCCAAACUGAGAUAGGGAGAGAGAGGGAGAGAGAGAGAGAGAGAGAGAGCGAGAGUGCCCAUGUGGAGUGGGAAGGGCCUCUCCAGCUUCGAUAUUCGUAAGAAUCACCUGGAGAGCCUGAAAAACAUCCCUGGGCGCCCCCACCCAUCUGCAGCCCCAAGAGGUUCUGAUUCAGUAGGUGGGAGGUGGGCCCGGGAAUGUGCCUGACUCAUAAACUGUUGGGGUCGCUGGUCUGGGGCCCACAAAUUGAGUAGCACCAUUCUAGGCAGAGGCAACAGCUUAGACUGAGGGGGUGGAACAGACGUGUGGGUGGGAGAACCCCAGUGGGCAGGGAGCACAGAGGCUGGAACUGGGGGAGCCUGAUGGUGGAGCUCAAACGGGAUGGCGCUGGUCCUCGAGGGUCAGGGGCAUGUCCCAGGCCAGGACACCCGCUCCAGGACCUGCUUAUGGAAGGGGAGCCAUGAGUACGCCUGGCAAGUGCAAGACAGUAUGAGACUUGGGGGACUGGGUAGGGCCUUGGGUCAAGGGUCUUGAGCAUGGGGUUGGCGGCUGCCAUGGAGGUUUAGAGCAGGGGGGGUGUCCCCCCACCUUCAGGCGGGGCAGCCAGCUCACAAAUGUCAGUCCCACCAACAGGGAACCCAGCGGGGUGUCUGCAAGUUUCUCAAAAUCUCCAGCCUGCAGAUGCUGGCACUCAGGCUGGCAGGCGAGCUCAGCUGCAAGGGGCCCAGAUUCGGAUUGUCUUAAGGAGACAAAACUGAGACAAGCCAUAUUGAAGCCGCUCGGGAGGCCUCAGAAGGAGCCUCUGUCUCCCUGUGAUUGUUCCCGAAAGCAAGGCCCCUUCCAUCUGCGAGGCUAGGCCCCUGUCUUUGCAAAUGCCUCCCACUCCCCAUGGAGCCGGAACGCUUAAUGCAGCUCGGCGGGGCCCUCAUAAACAGCCCUUCCCCAGCUGGUAGGAGCUGUUUUCUUUUCCCCUCUAAGAGGUUUGUUCCUGGUCAUAAAUUCUGCAGGCCCAGGCGGCCAGGCAAGGAUGAACACGUUGGUAAACACUGUAGUUAAAAACACAGCUUCUCGGCUGAGAAAGGGGCCCUGACAAUGGAGCCUUGUCCCCGGCAGAGAAUCUGAUGGCCCAUCUUCUUUGAUUCCUUAACCUUGCUGCGGGCUUGUAUGCAAUUGGCCUCAUUCUCCGGGGUCCAUCAAACGUACAUUUAAACGCCUUCAUUAGCAUCUUCCUCUGAUCCAGAACCGCUCGGCGAAUCCAACAGGCAUUGCGGAGAGGGCAGCCGCGUUUCUCUCUGGUGAACAUCGAAAACUCCUUGACAAAGUUCCUUUUACAAUUUACUUCCUUUGUUCCAUCUUCAAGAUCUUUCGUGACCAAUGUACUCGGAGAUGACUUGGGGACAAAAAUCCCGUCUGGCCCAGACAGUAAAUCUAGCCUCCAUUCAGACGGGUUAAAUGCGUGCUUUAUGCCUAUUGUCGCAGGCUCUCCAAAGCUCUUGCGCCUUUAAGGGUUUCCUACAAUAAAUUACACCCAUCACCCCGUGGUCUGGGUUGAGGGAGGGGACUGGCAGUGGGGAGGGCUUGCGUUCACCUCGCAUGGGAUGAACAGGCUGGGACGAGGCUGCCAGGCAGUGGCACAACUGCUCUGCAUUGCCACCAAUCACCCCGGACUUCUAGCCUCGUGCUCCUUGGGAGUCUUGUUUGCAAGAAGCCAAAAGCCCAACUCUAAGUGGAUGUGGCCAAAAUGUACUGGGAAGGGUGGCUUGCUUCGGUCUCCACUGCCCCAGGACCAGGCAGCUCUCUCCAGGAGGGGAUGUCCCUAGGCUCCCUCUGGUGGGUCACAGUGGGUCCAGUGGCAGCUGCUGGAGCCCCAGGACCCUCAAGUUCAAGUCCGUCAUGAUGGAGCAAGCAUCCUUUCCCAGCAGUCCCUAGCAAAAGCCUCAUUGGCUGAGAUUGGGUCACAUGAUUGUUCCUUGACCAAUCCCAGUGGUUCCCUAGCAGGUGCCUCAUUGGCUGGAAUUGGACCACCUGACUUUUUCUGAGCAAUCCCAGUGUUCCUUAGCAGGAGCCUCACUGGCAUGGGUUGGACCACAUGACCAUCCCUGCCAAAUCCCAGGCCUGGGUCGUUCUAGUGGGGGAAAGCUGGGUUGUGGUGCCCAGAAGAGCCAGGAAAAGCUCUGGACAGCCGGAGCAGCAGACAUUGGUUAUGGCGUCUAACCGAGGGCACCUCCUUUGCCCCACAGACCUGAGUCAGGGUGGCAGGGGGUGGCUCAGAGGCGGGAACCUAGGUUCCUUCCCUGCAUAUCUACCCCUGCGUCCACUGCAGAGUCUGUCUCCCCAUGGCCGCUGUGCUGCCUCCAGUUCGUGCCAACUCUGAUGGGCUCCGGACAACUCCGUAGCAUUUUCUCUGAGGCACGACUGUCGGCUGCAGGGGAAUUAGUGUUCUGCAAGUCCGGUGUUCGCUGGUCUGGAGGCCGCCACAGAUCUGAGGGCCAGGAUGGUGGCUCUGGCCAGGAUCGGAGCACGGGCGAAAGGGUCCAUGGUUUCAGCAGAUGCUUUUGAACCCUGGUCUCUGACCGUGGAGUGGUCCAGUAGAAAGCAUCGAAGACCAUGGCAGAGACCAAUCCCCUCAUCUUUCUUAUUGUCAAAACCAUGAUUUGGGAAAACAUUGAUCCAGCCUAAAUGUGCUGAAUACAUGACACAACAGUGGCUACUGACAUAUAAUGGGUGUUAUUGGAUGGGCCUUCUGGGGAAAUCCCUUAGCAGCUAAAUGGCCCCUUCUGUCCUUUCUUGAUUCUUCAUGCCCCAAAUGCAGAUGUGAUGGAAUUCCAUCCUCUCAUCAUUGCUCACACGUAAUGCUGUCAGACUCCCCCGCCCCCUUUUUUGGUCAGGCUGAAGGAUGCAAUGUGCCAUCCUUUUCAUCUCCUUAAUUACUUAAUUAUGGUGAGGUGUGAUGCCCACUUCAGAUUCUUUCCCUGUAUUUUGAGUCUUUGUAUCUUUUACCCAUUUUUCCAUUUAUUGAUUUGUAGAAGUUCUUUACAUAUUCUGGACAGGCAUCAUUUUGCCAAGGAUAAGCAUUGCAUACAUUUUCCCCACCUGUGGCUGACCUUCUCUUUUUUCCUAUGUUGUCUUUUGUCAUAUUCCAGGUUUUUACGUCUGCCCUAAGUAAAUGUAUUGAUCUUGUCCUAAUUGUGCUUUCUGUGUUGGUUUAACACAUCUCAUCUCAGGGUGGUAAGGAUAUUUUCCUAGGUUUUAUUUUAAAAUUGUAUGAAUUGUCUUUGUAUACUUAGGUCUCCUUUAACUGAAAUGGAUUUCUCUUUGCAGGUGUGAAGGAAGGAUCUAAUUUUGCCUGGCUUUCCUUUGUAAAGCCAAUCAUCCUAGGUCCAUGUAUUGAUUGCUUUUUCUUUUUCUAAAAUAAGUUUUAUUCUUAUAUAUCUUCCC